UCUUGUUAGGUUCUUCUGAUUCUAAAAAGGCAGCAAACCAAAAAUGCACAGUCAUACAGAAACUAAAAAGAUUGUAGCACUCAAGAUAAGCAUUUGCAAAAAGGUAAC